rnacentral:rRNA from 1 species
GGUCAAGUUAUUAAGGGUGCAGGGCGGAUGCCUUGGCACUAGGAGCCGAUGAAGGACGUGAUAAGCUGCGAUAAGCUUCGGGGAGUUGCACGUAAACUUUGAUCCGAAGAUUUCCGAAUGAGGAAACUCACUUAGAGUAAUGUCUAAGUAUCAUUAAGUGAAUACAUAGCUUAAUGAGGGGAACUCAGGGAACUGAAACAUCUAAGUACCUGAAGGAAGAGAAAGAAAUUCGAUUCCGUAAGUAGCGGCGAGCGAACGCGGAUUAGCCCAAACCAAUAAAGUUUUCUUUAUUGGGGUUGCGGACAUAUCAUAACGAAGAGGUAUCGUAAUUGAAGAGGUUUGGAAAGACCCACCACAGAAGGUAAUAGUCCUGUAUGUUAAACGAGAAGACUUUAGAUAUGAUCCAGAGUACCACGGGACACGUGAAACCCUGUGGGAAGCAGGAGGGACCACCCUCCAAGGCUAAAUACUACCUAGUGACCGAUAGCGUAUAGUACCGUGAGGGAAAGGUGAAAAGAACCCCGGGAGGGGAGUGAAAUAGAACCUGAAACCCUGCACUUACAAGCUGUGGAAGCACAUUUCUUGUGUGACCGCGUACUUUUUGUAGAACGGGCCAACGAGUUACGUUAAGUAGCAAGGUUAAGCACUUAAGGUGCGGAGCCGUAGCGAAAGCGAGUUUUAACUGAGCGUUCAGUUACUUGACGUAGACCCGAAACCGGGCGACCUACCCAUGAGCAGGAUGAAGCGAAAGUAAAAUUUCGUGGAGGUCCGAACCCACGAGCGUUGAAAAGCUCGGGGAUGACUUGUGGGUAGCGGUGAAAUUCCAAUCGAGCCCGGAGAUAGCUGGUUCUCCCCGAAAUAGCUUUAGGGCUAGCCUCAAGGUGAGAGAUACGGAGGUAGAGCACUGAAUGUCCUAGGGGGUAUUGCACCUACCGAAGACUAUCAAACUCCGAAUGCCGUCAUCUUAUACUUGGGAGUCAGACUGUGGGUGAUAAGAUUCAUAGUCGAAAGGGCAACAGCCCAGAUCGUCAGCUAAGGUCCCUAAAUGUAAGUUAAGUGGUAAAGGAUGUGGGAUUGCACAGACAACCAGGAUGUUGGCUUAGAAGCAGCCACUCAUUCAAAGAGUGCGUAAUAGCUCACUGGUCGAGUGAUCCUGCGCCGAAGAUUUCCGGGGCUAAAACUUACUACCGAAGCUACGGCAUCAGUAAUGAUGGGUAGGGGAGCUUCCCAUACGGGUUGAAGCAUGACCGUAAGGACAUGUGGACAGUAUGGGAGUGAGAAUGUUGGCAUGAGUAGCGAGAUGUGGGUGAGAAUCCCACAGGCCGUAAACCCAAGGUUUCCAGGGGAAGGUUCGUCCGCCCUGGGUUAGUCGGGACCUAAGCUGAGGCCGAAAGGCGUAGGUGAUGGACAACAGGUUGAUAUUCCUGUACUACCGAUAACC